GCAUGGUAGGGGAGCGUUCUGUAGGCCGAUGAAGGUGCAUUGUAAAGUGUGCUGGAGGUAUCAGAAGUGCGAAUGUUGACAUGAGUAGCGAUAAAGCGGGUGAAAAGCCCGCUCGCCGAAAGCCCAAGGUUUCCUACGCAACGUUCAUCGGCGUAGGGUGAGUCGGUCCCUAAGGCGAGGCAGAAAUGCGUAGUCGAUGGGAAACAGGUUAAUAUUCCUGUACUUGAUUCAAAUGCGAUGUGGGGACGGAGAAGGUUAGGUUAGCAAGCUGUUGGAAUAGCUUGUUUAAGCCGGUAGGUGGAAGACUUAGGCAAAUCCGGGUCUUCUUAACACCGAGAAGUGAUGACGAGUGUCUACGGACAUGAAGUAACCGAUACCACGCUUCCAGGAAAAGCCACUAAGCUUCAGUUUGAAUCGAACCGUACCGUAAACCGACACAGGUGGGCAGGAUGAGAAUUCUAAGGCGCUUGAGAGAACUCGGGAGAAGGAACUCGGCAAAUUGAUACCGUAACUUCGGGAGAAGGUAUGCCCUCUAAGGUUAAGGACUUGCUCCGUAAGCCCUGGAGGGUCGCAGAGAAUAGGUGGCUGCGACUGUUUAUUAAAAACACAGCACCCUGCUAACACGAAAGUGGACGUAUAGGGUGUGACGCCUGCCCGGUGCUGGAAGGUUAAUUGAAGAUGUGCAAGCAUCGGAUCGAAGCCCCAGUAAACGGCGGCCGUAACUAUAACGGUCCUAAGGUAGCGAAAUUCCUUGUCGGGUAAGUUCCGACCCGCACGAAUGGCGUAACGAUGGCCACACUGUCUCCUCCUGAGACUCAGCGAAGUUGAAGUGGUUGUGAAGAUGCAAUCUACCCGCUGCUAGACGGAAAGACCCCGUGAACCUUUACUGUAGCUUUGCAUUGGACUUUGAAGUCACUUGUGUAGGAUAGGUGGGAGGCUUUGAAGCAGAGACGCCAGUCUCUGUGGAGCCGUCCUUGAAAUACCACCCUGGUGUCUUUGAGGUUCUAACCCAGACCCGUAAUCCGGGUCGGGGACCGUGCAUGGUAGGCAGUUUGACUGGGGCGGUCUCCUCCCAAAGAGUAACGGAGGAGUUCGAAGGUUACCUAGGUCCGGUCGGAAAUCGGACUGAUAGUGCAAUGGCAAAAGGUAGCUUAACUGCGAGACCGACAAGUCGAGCAGGUGCGAAAGCAGGACAUAGUGAUCCGGUGGUUCUGUAUGGAAGGGCCAUCGCUCAACGGAUAAAAGGUACUCCGGGGAUAACAGGCUGAUUCCGCCCAAGAGUUCAUAUCGACGGCGGAGUUUGGCACCUCGAUGUCGGCUCAUCACAUCCUGGGGCUGUAGUCGGUCCCAAGGGUAUGGCUGUUCGCCAUUUAAAGUGGUACGUGAGCUGGGUUUAAAACGUCGUGAGACAGUUUGGUCCCUAUCUGCAGUGGGCGUUGGAAGUUUGACGGGGGCUGCUCCUAGUACGAGAGGACCGGAGUGGACGAACCUCUGGUGUACCGGUUGUAACGCCAGUUGCAUAGCCGGGUAGCUAAGUUCGGAAGAGAUAAGCGCUGAAAGCAUCUAAGCGCGAAACUCGCCUGAAGAUGAGACUUCCCUUGCGGUUUAACCGCACUAAAGAGUCGUUCGAGACCAGGACGUUGAUAGGUGGGGUGUGGAAGCGCGGUAACGCGUGAAGCUAACCCAUACUAAUUGCUCGUGAGGCUUGACU
rnacentral:rRNA from 1 species